rnacentral:pre_miRNA from 1 species
CUAGUACUCCCUCCGUCCGGAAAAGGUUGUCCCAAGCUUGUUCCUCAAGUGGAUGUAUCUAGUACUAACUCGGUGCUAGGUAUAUUCAUUUGAGGGACAAGUCUUUUCGGACGGAGGAAGUAUUUA